GACGUCACCCCAACCGCUGCUCAUACGUCGUUGCCCAUCGUAUAGCGGUGAUAUUUGUGGACGGAGAU
rnacentral:snoRNA from 17 species